GCCAGCGUGGCAUAGUGGUUUGAGUGUUGAACUAUGACUCUGGAAACCAGAGUUCAAUCCUCAGCUGGGCCA